AGAGAUUGUACAUUUUAAUAAUAUCAAGUCUCUUAAUCUGUAAACAUGGUCUUUAAUAUUUCAUGGCACUGUUUUGUCAUUUUUUGGUGUAGAUGUCUUUUUUUUUCAUUUAUAUUGAUAGAACUAGAGACUCUCAUACUAAGUGAAGUAGAUUUGCUUUUUUACAGCAUCCUAUGUUGUAUUUUAGAGGGAUUUAUGUUUAUCAUUUAUUCUAUAACUUGAUAUAUUUGUUUUAGAAAAUUUGGUGAGAAAAUUUUGUACAAAAUGCUUUCCUCACUUAUUUUCUUCUGCUUCAUUUAAAUGGAGUAUGGAUGGAUCACAAUUUCUUUUCUCUUUUUUACUUUGGGGCAAUUUAUUUCAUCACUAAAUGCUCAAUAAACUUUAUUAAUUAACUGUAUACAAAUUACAGAAUCCCUACAGAGUGCAAUUAAUAACACUGAUAGCACAAGAUGCCCAAAAAACUUGGAAUUGGCCUCAAAAUAAAUAGCAGUGCUUGAUAAUAAAUUUGUAGCAGAAAAAAGGCAAUAUACCCAGUAACUCCUUUCUUCCAAGAAAAUGUCUAUUCAUGAUUGUUCACUUUAAAUCAAAAAGUUCUAAAUUGAAAAUGGGUGCUAUCUUGUUACUGAUUACCAUAUUAACCAGCUGGUCCUAAUUACAACCUGAUACCUGUGAACUACCGAGAUGUUCUAACAAGCUCUUAAAGGUGCCAGACUGAAAAUUCAACAUUUUUAUACAUAGGCUAAAAUGCCCUAGCAAAGGUUUAUGGCAGCCCCCUACCCUACCCCUCACUUGCUUAUAGACCUGCUCUCUCAGACUCAUGCUCUUAGAAAAUUAACAAUAAAGACUAUAAGAUAUAAGAAAGUCUGCAAGAAUAUUAGGGAAACUCAGGAAAUUAGUGUCUUAAGGGAAGUCAUAAUAAAAGCCUAAGUUGAAAAUAUCUCGAAACACAUAGGAAGCUAGGAAGUGUCUAUAAAUCAUAUACAAACUUCAUGCAAAUGUAUAGGCAAUGGCCUGAGGAAUAUUCUAGAAGUGACCUUAUCACCUGAUGCUUCUAUGAUUUCUCAUUUAGCAGUAUUUAGCUAUUAAUACCCUUUCAUAGACCUAUAAAAGACAUUGAACUUUUAAACCAGGCUUGAGUUAAACUUGGCCAUGUUAGAAGAGGCCCAAAGAAGUCACAAACUUCCAUGUAGAAAAAUGUACUCUACAACCGGAGGAAUUUGCAGGACUCACACUCAAAUAAUAAUAAAUAUUCACUCAACUCUAAGUGUCAGGCAGGGUGCCAGGUGUUUUAUAUUGCUCUUAUUUGUAUCAAUCACUUCAAAAUAGCUCUAGGGGAAUUACUAUCUCCAUUUUCAGAUGUAAAAACUACUAUAAGAAAGGCUAAGGAAAGGGGCCCAAGUCAUAUAGUCAGUAGGUGGUAAAGCCCAUAUUUGCAUCAGCCCUAAUGACUCCAAAUUCUGGGCUCAAUACCACUCACUACUCCACAUCACUUCCCCCACACACAACUGGGGGAAACAAAUAGAAAGAAAGUGAAUUUUCAGGAUUAAAGUACAAAGGACUAAAACUCAGCAUCUCCUAAGUUUUCUGGGUCUAUUUUAUUUUUUUAAGGGGUAAUAUAAGUAGUAUCACAGGAAAUCAGAUAAAAGGAUUUUUCACAACUCACCUUCCUUACUAAUAUAUUAAAAACCAAGAAUAUGGGAAUUCAUAAUGUCCCUUCAAAUCUUUAUCUAGACGUGAGGCUAAAGAGAAAUGGAACAUUAAUAGCUCAGAACUUCAACAAAUGUUGCAGACACCUUUAUUCCCCCAGUCAAAGAUGUCUACAUUUUAUUUUUUUGUGUUCAUAAAAAUUCAUAAUUAAAAUUGCAAAGAGAAGCCUAAUCUCAUUUUAGUGCCUCCAUACAUCACUGGUUCCGCUGACCUAAUAAAAAGAGCUCAUCUUUCCCAUAUCAAAUGAUGUACCAAAUCACUGAUUAGCUAGCGUCCAUUCUGUGUACAGACUACAGUGGUAUUUAAUAUACCAACCCCAUUAGCUGCUUAAUGCCGUUUUCGAGAUUUAACAAAGCAGGUUCAAAAGCCUAUUCAAACUUCCUGACAAUGUGAUGGUCCUGGUCUUGAUUUCCUUUAACUCCUUGGUUCUUUUAUAUUUUGUCAUCACUUUUCAAGAUGCUCACGAAAAUCAGGGAGGGUCAAGAAAGGCCCCCAGUAUCACAUCCCCUUUUCACUGUUUCCCAUUUUUCACAGAUCAGUUUCAUUUUGAAUAACAUGAAUGAAUUGACACAACUCAAAGAAUAGCCUCAAGAUUCCCCCUCCCCAUAAAAACCUAAGAACAACCCAGUGAAAUUGCCCUGUCCACUGGAUUAGAGGCUUUGGAGUGGAUGAGAGAGGGGGAGGGACUUCUCGCCUCCCUCUUCAAGGCUGCAGGCACAGCAGACUCCAGUUUUGUUAAUAGCAUGCCAAGGCUGUCACUUCUGCUCAGGGGGCUGCUGAAAUCCCCAUGAGAGUCACAUUGUGUGACAUGAAGCCAGCUAUCGUUAAGUGAGGUCUAGGGAAUAAUUAGAAAGCAGGCAUUUUGACUUUUAAAUAUUCUACUGUCUUUAAGUGGUUUAAAUAAUUUCUAAGCAGAAGUGCCGCUGGGGAGAGCAGGGUGUCAGCAGUAGAAUGGAUGUUGUUGCUAACAGCCAACAGCUGGAAAGAGAGUGUGACAAUGCCCCCUGCUUGGUGAUACUUUCCUGGUAUCCUGCACUACACUGGCUCUGGAGCCUAAUAGCACAAUAUGGGAAAUGAGAGCUCAUCUAUCUACUUGUCAGGGGCACUGCAGGCAUUCCACGUACAAGCCUUCCCAGCUCGACCUGGGCUGAGCUACACCAUGACCUAAAAGGAAGCCUUUCAGAGGUGAGAGGCCUUUUAUGGUAAUUAAUCCUCCAGGAGGCACAAUCCCCAAUGUCACCUGAGCUAAGGGGAACAAGCAGAAAAUUCCACUACUCUAAAUUUUUUUAUAGAGAUCACACUGAAAAGGAGCUAUAGCAGAAAUUCUAAAAAAAAAUGCAGUGUUUCUAUAAGAAUGCUAUGAUAAUCUUCUAUGAUGUUUUAAAUGGAUUGCACUCUUACUCUUCCAUCAAACCAAGAACUCCUUGCGCAAUUGAAAGCUUUUUUAGAUUUGGGGAAGACCUCCUAUGCUAUCUCUUUUGCUCCUGUCCUUUCCACUAUAAGUGCUACUAACCAUUCCUAGAUAAAGAUUCUUUCCCCUGUCCCCAUAGCCCAGUUCUAGUAUCUACAUCCAUCUCCCAAUUGGUCUCUGUCUCUCCUUCUCUCCCAUCUAGCCUAUGUCACUGUCAGAUUAAUUUCCCAAAGUACGCUUUGAUUCUAACCCUCCCCUACUCAAAAACAUUAAAAGUCCAAAGUCUAAACUACUUAGGCAAACUUUAAGACCCUUAAGAGUGCUUACAUAUGAAUGCUUGGCAACAAAUGAAGCCAGCUCAAUGAGUGGUACACUCCCAUAUGAAUUCUCAGACUUCCAGAUGAGCUAUCAAGGACAAUCUUCAAGGAGAAGAAAAGAAAAUGGCAUGCAAUCCAUAUCUACUAUGUGCCUCUCAUGCCACCAAACUCUUUGGCAAUCUUUUCACUUUUGUUAUCCUAGAUUUUAAUAAAUGAAGAAAUUGAGUCUCAAUAACUUUCCAGAGUUACCUUAACAGAAUUAGGAUUUAAAUCUAGAUCUGCUUAACUCCUCCUUUAAAACAAGUCACAUUAUUUCAAAAGGCCUCAUAGGUGUUAAGUGCUAUCUUCACCUAAAGAGGAUUCGUUCUGGUCACAAACAUGUAAGGACAUUAUUUCAAGAACUGGCAUCUGAAGUGUCCAUAAGGGAUGGGUAAGGCUUCAACCGGCAAAUGAUAGGUGGAGAGGCAACUGCUUGAGCAUGUUUAGGGAGUAGAGAAUAGGACAAUUAGAAUAGCUAAAUAACUGGAAAAUGCUUUGGGGUCACAGAGAGGACUAGGAUGCUGGGCUAAGGGAAAACUGAAAUUGCAAAGUGCUUUGAGGGCCUGGCUAAGGAGUUUGAACUUCAGCCUGUGAAGAAUAGGCACCUAUCAAAUUAUUUUUAAGAGAUGUAUAAUAACUUGUUUGUUUUUUUAAGAAAGAAAAGGAUGGAUUGAGGAGGCAAGAUUUCACAGUUAAAGAAAGUAGUAAAGGCUCUACCAAGGCAUAUAAAGAAGAUGUCUAGGGAAGGCUAGGAAGGAAGAAGAUUAAAGGGAUUGAUUACUAAAGUGAAAUUGAUAAGAUGUGGCAGCUGGUUAGAUAUGGGGGACAAAGAAGAGGGAGGGGUGAAGAGUACUGAGAACUGUCAAACCUGAUUAGUCAGAGCUUGAAGAAGCCACUUCACAGGCAGAUAACAAAGAGGAGGAAAAGGAGGAAAAGAAGAUACAUUUCUGGGAUAAUAGGGUUUUAAGCAAAAAAGAGGGAAAUAAAUAUGAAUCUGGAAGCCCAAAGAAAGGUCCAAAUGACAGAGAGAGAAUGAGCUGGUAUGGAAAACAACAAUAACAGUCAAUAUGUAUUAGUGGUCUAUUUUCUUCCAGGUCCUGUGAUAAAACCCUUACAUUUUCAUUUAGUCCCCAAAAUCCUCAGUUCACAGAUGAGAAAACUGAACUUUAGAAUGCUUAAGUGACUAGCCCAGAAAAUAACCUGAGUAUUCCAUAGAAAAAUACAAAUGACUUUAAGCACAUAAAAGGAGUUCCCAUCAUGGCUCAGGGGAAACAAAUCUGACUAGUAUCCAUGAGAAUGCAGGUUCGAUCCCUGGCCUUGCUCAGUGGGUUAAGGAUCCAGUGUUGCCGUGAGCUGUAGUGUAGGUUGCAGACACUGCUCAGAUCACUAGUUGCUGUGGCUGUGAUGUAGGCCGGCAGCUACAGCUCCAAUUCGACCUCUAGUCUGGGAACCUCCACAUGCCGCAGGUGCAGCCAUGAAAAGAAAAUAAUAAUAAUAAUAAAAAUAAUGAUCAAAAUCUUGGUUAGGAUGUAAGAAAUAGUUCUCUCAUACACUCCUGAGGAUAUAAUUUGGGCCAAAACUUUUGAAGGGUAAUUUGGAAAUGUCUAUCAUAAUUUUAAAUUUAUAUGCUUUUUGGCCCCAUAAUUCUGUUUAUAAGAGUUUUUUGGGUUUUUUUUUUUGUUUUUUUUUUAUUUUCCCACUGUACAGCAAGGGGGUCAGGUUAUCCUUACAUGUAUACAUUACAAUUACAUUUUUUCCCCCAUAUAAGAGUUUUUGGUAUUGUUUUUCUCUUUUUCAUUUCUGCUCUCUUAGGACCAGGUAGUAGAUGAAGUUAAUCUUUGUUCAACUUAAGUUUUAAACGAAAAGAGAGAGAGAGAGAGAACUGGAGGGUGAGAAGUGGAUUUGUGCCAAUUAGCAUCUUCUCCUGAUCAUGUGAUGUCAGAGAGGGAGGAUGAGGAAUUGAAAACUGAACAUUCAGAUAGCAAGUGCUGAGGGACAGGGUCCACUCUCUGAAUGUUCUCCUCCUCUGCAACCCAAUGCUGAGAUCACCUACAAAGAGACCCUCAGAUCCUUGGGGGAAACUAAAGAGACAAGAGCUACCACAUUUUUAGUAAAUCCAAUAUUCUGUCAGUAGUAUAAGUUAGUUUUUUUUUGCUUUUUUUGUUUGUUUGUUUGUUUGUUUGUUUUGGCUGCCCUGAGGCAUAUGGAGCUCCUGGGCCAGGGAUCAGAUCCAAGCCACAGCUGUGGUAACACCAAAUCCUUAAUCCACUGUGCUGGGCCAGGGAUCAAAC
rnacentral:lncRNA from 1 species